GUCGAGCGAGAAGCUCAUGACGGACGCUUCGGUUGAAGUCACGAGUGGAAAGCGGCGGACGGGUGAGUAACGCGUAGGCAACCUGCCCUUUGCAGAGGGAUAGCCUCGGGAAACCGGGAUUAAAACCUCAUAAUACCGCAGUGAGACAUCUUACGGCGGUCAAAGAUUUAUCGGCAAAGGAUGGGCCUGCGGCUGAUUAGUUAGUUGGUGGGGUAACGGCCUACCAAGGCGACGAUCAGUAGCCGACCUGAGAGGGUGAUCGGCCACAUUGGAACUGAGACACGGUCCAAACUCCUACGGGAGGCAGCAGUGGGGAAUAUUGCACAAUGGGGGAAACCCUGAUGCAGCAACGCCGCGUGAAGGAUGAAGGCCUUUGGGUCGUAAACUUCUGUUCUAAGGGAAGAUAGUGACGGUACCUUAGGAGCAAGUCCCGGCUAACUACGUGCCAGCAGCCGCGGUAAUACGUAGGGGGCAAGCGUUAUCCGGAAUUAUUGGGCGUAAAGAGUACGUAGGUGGUUUUCUAAGCACGGGGUUUAAGGCAAUGGCUUAACCAUUGUUCGCCUUGUGAACUGGAAGACUUGAGUGCAGGAGAGGGAAGCGGAAUUCCUAGUGUAGCGGUGAAAUGCGUAGAUAUUAGGAGGAACACCAGUGGCGAAGGCGGCUUACUGGACGAUAACUGACGCUGAGGCUCGAAAGCGUGGGGAGC
rnacentral:rRNA from 1 species